UAUGGGUUGCAAAGUUUUAAUUAGUUUAUCAACACCCCAGUAAAGGAAGAGGAACAGUCAAGAUUGGGCACAAAGAAUAGACCAACUGUGAAGUCGGCCUGAUAGUGCCAUGACUCAAGCAAUGGAGAAUUCUGGGCAGCGUCAUCAUUGUUCUUGGUCACCGGAUGUGCGUUCUGCGGAAGGGUGUGACUUCCGGUGGCUCUCUUACUGCAGCCGGUACCUAAGGGAAUGACAACCGAAGGGUUUCUUCUUGCUGUACUACUUACGACUGGAGUGGGAUGCAAGCCAGUGUAAAUGAAAUAUCACAGCUCUCUAAUUAGGAGAGAGAUAUGGAAGAGGCUGAUCCUCUGAAAGCUCAAGUGAACAUACGGAAACAAAAUCCCGUGGGAGUGUUUGUAGUCAACACUACCCCGAAUUCCUUGGAAAGAAGGAGCUGCUGUGUGUAAGAUAUCUUGUAGAAGCACUUCCCUUAAAACUACACAUUUUAUUAUUAACAUCAAGCAAAUGUUAACAAUUGCACACUAGUUGUGUCGUGCUUUUUACGUUUUUGCAUUAUGGUUAUACAUUUGUUUAUAGGAGGUUUUGAGGCGUUGAUGGUACUGAGUUUUCUUUUCAGAGCUACCCACAGAAAUGAAAAAAUGGACAGGAAAUCAUUUAUGUGCUUUCUCUGGAUCAAUAAUCUCUGAGUCUGACUGAUUAGUGUCCUCAAAUGCUAUCAAAGCUGAUUGCACAACCCCGAGAAUAAAGGUGUAGGUGGUGCAAAAAGGAUUACCGUUCUCACUGUGAACUCCGUUUCUGGGUUUUUUUUUUUCCUUUCAGGUUACAGAAGGAAGAGCCUAAAGAAAAAUGUAGGUCAAGUGCUUUUAUCCUCUACAAAUUUCACAACAGCAAUCAUGAAAUCACAGUGACUGGCCCUGAUUUUCAAUGGUGGGAAAGAAGGGCAAUAGGGGCUGGACCUCACAUGCUCCUCCGAGAGGAAGAAGCCUCAUCGUCAAAAGGUGACAAGGCCCCCAUCCGCAGAUGGAAACAGCAGAGGAGCAAGGCCAUCUGCGAUCUCCCAAAGCAAGUAAAA
rnacentral:lncRNA from 1 species